CUCGGCUAGGGGACGAGAGAGGCCGACGGUAUUUCCGGGGUAGGGGUGAAAUCCUAUAAUCCCGGGAAGACCACCAGUGGCGAAGGCUGUCGGCUAGAACGCGCCCGACGUUGAGGGAUGAAAGCUGGGGGAGCGAACCGGAUUAGAUACCCGGGUAGUCCCAGCUGUAAACGAUGCAGGCUAGGUGUUUGGGCGGCCACGUGCCGCUUAGUGCCGCAGGGAAGCUGUUAAGCCUGCCGCCUGGGGAGUACGAUCGCAAGAUUGAAACUUAAAGGAAUUGGCGGGGGAGCACCACAAGGGGUGAAGCUUGCGGUUUAAUUGGAGUCAACGCCGGAAAUCUCACCGGGAGCGACAGCAGGGUGAAGGCCAGAUUAAAGGUCUUGCCAGACGAGCUGAGAGGAGGUGCAUGGCCGUCGCCAGUUCGUGCCGUGAGGUGUCCUGUUAAGUCAGGCAACGAUCGAGACCCGCGUCCUCUGUUGCCACCAGUCUUGUGCUGGGCACACUGAGGAGACCGCCGCUGAUAAAGCGGAGGAAGGAGCGGGCCACGGCAGGUCAGUAUGCCCCGAAUCUCCCGGGCCACACGCGAGCUGCAAUGGCAGGUACAAUGAGUUCCGACCUUGAAAGGGGAAGGCAAUCUCGAAAGCCUGCCGUAGUUGGGAUCGAGGGCUGUAACCCGCCUUGUGAACAUGGAAUCCCUAGUAAUCGCGUGUCAUUAGCGCGCGGUGA
rnacentral:rRNA from 1 species